rnacentral:rRNA from 1 species
GAUGAACGCUGGCGGCGUGCCUAAUACAUGCAAGUCGAGCGAACAGAUGAGGAGCUUGCUCCUCUGACGUUAGCGGCGGACGGGUGAGUAACACGUGGAUAACCUACCUAUAAGACUGGGAUAACUUCGGGAAACCGGAGCUAAUACCGGAUAAUAUAUUGAACCGCAUGGUUCAAUAGUGAAAGACGGUUUUGCUGUCACUUAUAGAUGGAUCCGCGCCGCAUUAGCUAGUUGGUAAGGUAACGGCUUACCAAGGCAACGAUGCGUAGCCGACCUGAGAGGGUGAUCGGCCACACUGGACCUGAGACACGGUCCAGACUCCUACGGGAGGCAGCAGUGGGGAAUCUUCCGCAAUGGGCGAAAGCCUGACGGAGCAACGCCGCGUGAGUGAUGAAGGUCUUCGGAUCGUAAAACUCUGUUAUUAGGGAAGAACAAAUGUGUAAGUAACUAUGCACGUCUUGACGGUACCUAAUCAGAAAGCCACGGCUAACUACGU